AUGUACUAUAACCAAGUAGCAGUAGCUAGCUACAUGUUUAUUUCCCGACGUCUGAUCAUGGACGACAGAUCGGCAUGGGCCGUGCCCCACCGACGGUGUCUGUGGACUCCCAGCGGUGAUCCAGCGCUCUUUCGCGGCGGCACUGUGUCGCUCCCUUCCGCUCCCCUUCCACUCUCUCGUCUGUCAAAUGUCAGCCGUAAAAUCUGCUUCUCGAUCCGAGGUUGCGAUAUGUCAUCUGUUAGAUUUCAUAGCAUUGGUGGAUAAACUCCGUUAGAUUCUACCGAACCGUUACUUGACGUACCAGUCUGCAGUAAAGAAAGCGCUCCUCUUCUCUUAAUUAUUUAGAAGACCCCAUAUCCGCUGCACUGUUUCCGCUCCUGUGGCAGCAACAGUGAAUACGGUCCCGUUUUUGUAGCAUCUCUCCUUGGUGACAGGUCGGAACGGUGUCAGCAUAUCGAGAUAUUAACUCAACACUUUUCCAACCCUUGAAUCGCGUCGAAGAACUUUCUAAAAAGCUUUGUCUGGUCAACCGUGCGCUAGCUGGCGCGGCAUAACGUUGUUUGGACCAGCGGCAUCAGUCAGUAUACGAGCAUAGUGGAUGAAAGUAGGCUAGAUGUAUCACUAGCACUAUGAGGUAGCAGGGACAAGAUGUUAGCAGAUGGUAGAGAGAUGGACGGAGGGAUUUGGUCGAUCUCACUUUUAUAAUCCCUGUAGCAAAACAAAGGAGCCAGUCAGAUAUUUUUCCAACAAUAUCAGGCUUCUGGGUCAGGUAAAAACAAAAGGCACCACAAAUGGUUAAUAAACGGAUUUUUUAUUUUAUUUCAGUGUAUUCAAAUACAUUUUUCUACCAAAUCUAUGUACACAAGUCAGAGUAAACAUAAGGUGUUGUUGACAACAACAUAUACAAAACAUGUUUCCAUUUUUACAUCUUUAGACAGUUUUUUAGCAAGGCUGUGGAACAGGAUGUAACCGACUGGGGGGAUUUAAAUGUGACCCCUGGAUACAUCUAGUAUUCCUAUGGUAUAUAUGGGGUGAUUUUAAAUGUGACCCCUGGAUACAUCUAGUAUUCCUACAGUAGGACUUCCUACACAUCCUACAGUGUAAUCAUAUUCCUAUGGUAUAGGUCAGGACAUCACAUGACAUUACAGUGUUUCCCCUAUAUGCAUUUAGCAGUGGCGGCCCGUGCUGCCACUCCCCCCAGAAAACAUAUAUAUAUAUAUUUCUAUGUAGAAAAGCUAAUAUUUUUUUUAAGAUUAUAUUUUUUAAAUAUUUUUUUUAUUUUACCCCUUUUUCUCCCCAAUUUCGUGGUAUCCAAUUGUUUUAGUAGCUACUAUCUUGUCUCAUUGCUACAACUCCCGUACGGGCUCGGGAGAGACGAAGGUUGAAUGUCAUGCGUCCUCCGAUACACAACCCAACCAAGCCGCACUGCUUCUUAACACAGAGCCAUCCAACCCGGAAGCCAGCCGCAGCAAUGCGUCGGAGGAAACACCGUGCACCUGGCAACCUUGGCUAGCGUGCACUACGCCCGGCCCGCCACAGGAG
rnacentral:lncRNA from 13 species